rnacentral:rRNA from 1 species
CCUACGGGUGGCAGCAGUGAGGAAUAUUGGGCAAUGGACGCGAGUCUGAACCAGCAAAGUAGCGUGAAGGAUGACUGCCCUACGAGUGGUAAGCUUCUUUUAUGAAGGAAUAAAGUGUGGCAGGUGUGCAUUUUUAUGUGUACUUUAUGAAUGAGGAUCGGCUAACUCCGUGCCAGCAGCCGCGUUAAUACGGAGGAUCCGAGCGUUAUCCGGAGUGAGUGGGUGUAUAGGGAGCGUAGAUGGGUUGUUCAGUUAGUUGUGAAAGUUUGGGGCUCAACCGUAAAAUUGCCACCGAGACGGGUAGACUGGAGUACAGGUGGGGUAGGCGGAAUUCGUGGUGUAGCGGUGAAAUGCUUAGAUAUUACGAAGAACUCCGAGUGCGAAGGCAGCUUACUAAACUGCAACUGACAUUGAUGCUCGAAAGUGUGGGUAUCAAACAGGAUUAGAUACCCGGGUAGUC